GAUGAACGCUGGCGGCGUGCCUAACACAUGCAAGUCGAACGAAGCUUGACGGAUGAUUUCUUCGUAAUGAAACCAGAUAUGACUUAGUGGCGGACGGGUUAGUAACACGUUAGCAACCUGCCUUUCAGAGGGGGAUAACGGCUGUAAACGGUCGCUAAUACCGCAUGAUGUGUUCGGAUGGCAUCAUCUGUACAUCAAAGAUUUAUCGCUGAACGAUGGGCUCGCGUCUGAUUAGAUAGUUGGUGGGGUAACGGCCUACCAAGUCUACGAUCAGUUGCCGGACUGAGGGGGUGCACGGCCACAUUGGGACUGAGAUACGGCAGAGACGCCUACGGGAGGAAGCAGUGGAGAAUAUUGCACAAUGGGGGAAUGCGUGAUGAAGCACCGCCGCGUGAAGGAUGACGGUUUUCGGAUUGUAAACUUCUUGUCUUAGACACGAAGACAGUGACGGUAGCUAAGGAAUAAGCAUCGGCUAACUACGUG
rnacentral:rRNA from 1 species